GUGAUAGGCCACUUCAUUGUGACAGACCGUGAAGACUGUCAAUGACAAACAAGCACCUCCACUCCGAAUCAAAUCAAAGACAUAUACUAUGCCUUUCCAGACAUUAUUUAUACUAGAUCAAUAGCCAAAGCUAUUGUGUGAACAUAUACUAUAUAGGCCUAGGCUAGGCAACGAUUUGUAACAAACAGGAGAGUGGCAUCGUAGCCUUGAGGAAGGAGAUCGCUUGUGGACGUUGGGUGAUUUUUGUGCCAAGCGCAGCCUCCGCCAGCCACACCCUCACGUGCGUGCAACUGUGCGGGACUCUUUUUCUCACCAGAGCAGUCUGUACGCUUGGCCAUGCGUGCUUGUCUGUCGCGAGCACCCGCAGCAUCAGCAACACAAAGAGGGUCGAUGAGCUGUUAGAUUGGAGAUACAAGGCGCCGCCGGCUACUUCAAGGCCGAUUUGCGGGGGAAACGAGAUCACUUAUAAGCCGCAGAGAGAGGAAGCAGCAGCAGCAGCAACGCCGCUGGUCUGGGUAAAACAUUGUGCAGAAGGGCAGAUCGAUGUUCCCUAAGGUUUUUCUGCAGUGGUGCGCAGCCCUGUCAAGUUGUGCCGCUAAAAUAGGUAAAGGGUUGCACAGUUCCACCUCGUCUGUCUGCUUCGACAACAAGCUGUUUACGCUGUCAAGCUACGACACUUUAGCC
rnacentral:lncRNA from 1 species